AAUUCGAUGCAACGCGAAGAACCUUACCAAGGCUUGACAUGAACCGGAAAGGCGUAGAAAUACGUCCCCCACUUGUGGUCGGUUUACAGGUGGUGCAUGGUUGUCGUCAGCUCGUGUCGUGAGAUGUUGGGUUAAGUCCCGCAACGAGCGCAACCCUCGUUCUAUGUUGCCAGCACGUGAUGGUGGGGACUCAUAGGAGACUGCCGGGGUCAACUCGGAGGAAGGUGGGGAUGACGUCAAAUCAUCAUGCCCCUUAUGUCUUGGGCUUCACGCAUGCUACAAUGGCCGGUACAAAGGGUUGCGAUACUGUGAGGUGGAGCUAAUCCCAAAAAGCCGGUCUCAGUUCGGAUUGGGGUCUGCAACUCGACCCCAUGAAGUCGGAGUCGCUAGUAAUCGCAGAUCAGCAACGCUGCGGUGAAUACGUUCCCGGGCCUUGUACACACCGCCCGUCAAGUCACGAAAGUUGGUAACACCCGAAGCCGGUGGCCUAA
rnacentral:rRNA from 1 species